AACGACUCUCGACAACGGAUAUCUCGGCUCUCGCAUCGAUGAAGAACGUAGCGAAAUGCGAUACUUGGUGUGAAUUGCAGAAUCCCGUGAACCAUCGAGUCUUUGAACGCAAGUUGCGCCCGAAGCCAACAGGCCGAGGGCAUGUCUGCCUGGGUGUCACGC
rnacentral:rRNA from 1 species